rnacentral:rRNA from 1 species
CCUACGGGGGGCAGCAGUGAGGAAUAUUGGUCAAUGGACGAGAGUCUGAACCAGCCAAGCAGCGUGCAGGAUGACUGCUCUAUGGGUUGUAAACUUCUUUUAUAAAGGAAUAAAACGAGGCACGUGUGCCUUUUUGCAUGUACUUUAUGAUUAAGGAUCGGCUAACUCCGUGCCAGCAGCCGCGGUAAUACGGAGGAUCCGAGCGUUAUCCGGAUUCAUUGGGUUUAAAGGGAGCGUAGAUGGGUUGUUAAGUCAGUUGUGAAAUUUCGCGGCUUAACUGGAAAAUUGCAUUUGAUACUGGCAGGCUUGAGUACAGUUGAGGUAGGCGGAAUGCGUGGUGUAGCGGUGAAAUGCUUAGAUAGCACGAAGAACACCGAUUGCGAAGGCAGCUUACUAAACUGUGACUGACAUUGAUGCUCGAAAGUGUGGGGAGCAAACAGGAUUAGAUACCCCUGUAGUC